GUCCCUUCGGGGACAUCCGAUAAAAUUGGAACGAUAUAGAGAAGAUUAGCAUGGCCCCUGCUCAAGGAUGACACGCACAAAUCGAGAAAUGGUCCAAUUUUUU
rnacentral:snRNA from 1 species